rnacentral:rRNA from 1 species
UAAUUGGAGUCUGGUAUGAAUGGUUAAAUGAGAAGUUUACUUUCUUUAUUUUAGAAAAAAAAUUUGAUUUUUAGAUCAAAAAGUCUAAAUGGUUUUAUAGGACGAGAAGACCCUAUAGAACUUAACUUCUCCUAAGUUAAUUAUUCACUUGUGAAUAAUUUUUUUAAUUAUUUUAGGGGAAGUUUUGUUGGGGUGACAAAAAAAAUUUUUUAACUUUUUUUAUUUUUUUCAUUAAUUUAUGAUGUUUUGAUCCUUUAAUAGGGAUAAGAAGAUCAAGUUACCUUAGGGAUAACAGCGUUAUUAUUUUAGAGAGUUCUUAUCGAUAAAUAUAGUUUGCGACCUCGAUGUUGGAUUAAAAUUAGUGUCAGGGGUAGAAUAUUGAUUACUAGGUCUGUUCGACCUUU